GAUGAACGCUGGCGGCGUGCCUAAUACAUGCAAGUCGAACGCUGGAGAUCUAGCUUGCUAGAUCGAAGGAGUGGCGAACGGGUGAGUAAUACAUAAGCAACCUACCCACGAAGACUGGGAUAAUCUCUGGAAACGGGGACUAAUACCGGAUAGGUAAUCGGAAGGCAUCUUCUGGUUAUUAAAGGUUAAAAACACUGGUGGAUGGGCUUAUGGCGCAUUAGUUAGUUGGUGAGGUAACGGCCCACCAAGACGAUGAUGCGUAGCCGGCCUGAGGGGGUGAACGGCCACAUUGGGACUGAGACACGGCCCAGACUCCUACGGGAGGCAGCAGUAGGGAAUUUUCGGCAAUGGGGGCAACCCUGACCGAGCAACGCCGCGUGAGUGAAGACGGCCUUCGGGUUGUAAAGCUCUGUUGUAAGGGAAGAACGGUAGAUAGAGAAUAUCUAAGUGACGGUACCUUACCAGAAAGCCACGGCUAACUACGUG
rnacentral:rRNA from 1 species